CAAUAAGUAAUUUAAUUUAAAAUAUAGGCUUUGGGUGUCUGUCUUUGAUGGAAACAUCACUUGUUGA
rnacentral:tRNA from 1 species